rnacentral:rRNA from 1 species
UACGGGGGGAGCAAGCGUUGUUCGGAUUUACUGGGCGUAAAGGGCGCGUAGGCGGCCACCGCAAGUCGACUGUGAAAUCUCCGGGCUUAACCCGGAAAGGUCAGCCGAUACUGCGGGGCUAGAGUGCAGAAGGGGCAACUGGAAUUCUCGGUGUAGCGGUGAAAUGCGUAGAUAUCGAGAGGAACACCGGUGGCGAAGGCGGUUCUCUGGGCAUGAUCUGACGCUGAGGAGCGAAAGUGUGGGGAGCGAGCAGG